rnacentral:tRNA from 1 species
UCCCUGGUGACCUAGUGGUUAGGAUUUAGCACUUUUACCGCUAUGCCCCAGAUUCAAUCCCUGGUCUGGGAA